AAUAAAAAUGUUUAUAGUUUGAUUAAUUUAUUUAAAGUUUAUUUUACAUAUAAAUUUUAGUGUUAAUUUUAAAUUUAUUUUAAUAAUAAAUUAAUUAAUUUAUAGUAAUUAAUAUUAAGUAUUUAAGAAAUUAAGAUUUAGUAAUAUUUAAAUUAAUAACAAAUUUUGUGCCAGCAGUUGCGGUUAAACAUAAAUUAAAUUAAAUUUUAUUAGUAAUUAAUAAAUAAAUUUAUUAAUAAUUUAAAAUUUAAAUUAUUAGGUGAAAUUUUAAUUUAAUAUAAUAUUAAUUGAAUUUUAUGAUUUAAUAAAUUUUAUUAAAAACUAGGAUUAGAUACCCUAUUAUGAAAAUUUUAAAUUUAAAUACUAAAAUAGUAAGUGAUUAUUCAUUGAAACUUAAAUAAUUUGGCGGUAUUUUAGUUCAUUUAGAGGAAUCUGUUUAAUAAUUGAUAAUCCACGAAUAAAUUUACUUAAUUUUUAAUUUUGUAUAUCGUUGUUAAAAAAAUAUUUUUUAAUAAAAAUAAUAUUUAAAAAUUUAUAUUUAUAAAUUAAAUCAGAUCAAGAUGCAGAUUAUAAUUAAGAAUAUAAUGGAUUACAAUAAAUUUAUUUAUAUGGACAUUAAUUUGAAAAAUUUAAUUAAAAGUGGAUUUAAAUGUAAUUUUAUUUAAUUUAAUAAAAUGAUUAUAAAUUGGAAUAUGUACAUAUUGCCCGUCGCUUUCAUAUGUUCAUAUUUAUAUUAUUUAAAUAUAAAUAAUAAAUUGAAAUAAGUCGUAACAAAGUAGAGAUACUGGAAAGUGUUUCUAGAAAGAC
rnacentral:ncRNA from 1 species